UUCAUCUGUUACAGUGCCUCAUUGGUUGAGGGUUGUUUCCAGGGGCAAGAUCUCCCUGGCUGUUUCCAUCUGAUCCUCUUUAUCCAACAUGAGCUGAACCUGCUCCAGUUACAAAAGGAAGCUCUCAGGCACAGAGAUGGAGAUGCUUGGGGUAGGAAUCCAUUGAUAAACCUGGGAUGACUACGCCACACCCUGACAUUACAGCAUCUUGUUUUAUCUCCCUGAGAGUGCUACCAGCAAUGCCACCUCCAAGUGUAGCUGUUUCAGGUGUGGACCCUAACACUGGAUUCGUGUACCCAGCUCUGAUGCUGUCAUCCCUCUUGUGGAGUGAGUAAAAGGACUUUCCUUUGUUAUGGGAUGCUGGAUGCUGUAUGCUGUGGUUAGUUGCAC
rnacentral:lncRNA from 1 species